AUUGAACGCUGGCGGCAGGCCUAACACAUGCAAGUCGAACGAGUGGCAGACGGGUGAGUAAUGUCUGGGAAACUGCCUGAUGGAGGGGGCUAACUACUGGAAACGGUAGCUAAUACAGCAUACCAUCAGAUGUGCCCAGAUGGGAUUAGCCAGUUGGUGGGGUAACGGUUCACCAAGGCGACGAUCCCUAGCUGGUCUGAGAGGAUGAACAGCCACACUGGAACUUAGACACGGGCCAGACUCCUACAUAAGGCAGCAGUGGGAAAUGUAGCACAAUGGGCGCAAGCCUGAUGCAGCCGUACCGCGUGUAUGAAGAAGGCCAUCGGGUUGUAAAGUACUUUCAACGAGGAGGCGUUGCCCGCAGAAGAAGCACCGACUAACUCCGUACCAACCGCCGCGGUGAUUC
rnacentral:rRNA from 1 species